rnacentral:lncRNA from 1 species
CGCCGCCCGCCGGGGCUCGGCUCGGCAGCAGGUGCCCGGAGCGCGCCGCAGCACCGCGCAGACAGUGGCGAGUGGUCACGCAAGCAAGUCCAUGCGCUGUACUGCAGCUCUGGCCAGCUUUUCCAGGCAUUGAACCAGAGACACUGUGGAUCCUAAACACCUCCAGCUCAGCAGUCCCCUGUACUUGGAGUGAUCCACACUUCACCAACGUUGUUCAGCACGUCUUAAAGGUAUAAAAGGCCUUAUGUGUUUACCAAGAUUUUAAUCUAAAAGGACUUUUUCUUUUUGGGCUUGAUGACUUUUUUCUUCUUUUAGCAUUUCAAGUAAGCAGGGAUUUCUUUGUUUGGAAUAUGCAAAAUAUUACCAAUGGAGAAGCAUAGCUGCAUUCAAUGACUCUGCAUUACUCCAUUUUCUUACAAGGUCAGCACAACUCUUAAAGAGUGUAGGAACUGGGUUGCAUUGUCUUUGCACAUUGCCUUUCCUUUAUCCAUGAAAACCCACCCCACUGGCCUAAGCCCUUUUGCAUGACCACUAUUUUAUUUACAAAUUGGCAGUAAAGUGCUGCAGUCUCUCUGACAGUGUGCAAUUAAUUGCACAUGAUCUCUUUAGGCU